UGCGGGGUGGAGCAGCUCGGUAGCUCGUUGGGCUCAUAACCCAAAGGUCGGUGGUUCAAAUCCACCCCCCGCAA
rnacentral:tRNA from 1 species